GAUGAACGCUGGCGGCGUGCCUAAUACAUGCAAGUCGAGCGAAUGGAUUAAGAGCUUGCUCUUAUGAAGUUAGCGGCGGACGGGUGAGUAACACGUGGGUAACCUGCCCAUAAGACUGGGAUAACUCCGGGAAACCGGGGCUAAUACCGGAUAACAUUUUGAACCGCAUGGUUCGAAAUUGAAAGGCGGCUUCGGCUGUCACUUAUGGAUGGACCUGCGUCGCAUAAGCUAGUUGGUGAGGUAACGGCUCACCAAGGCAACGAUGCGUAGCCGACCGGAGAGGGUGAUCGGCCACACUGGGACUGAGACACGGCCCAGACUCCUACGGGAGGCAGCAGUAGGGAAUCUUCCGCAAUGGACGAAAGUCUGACGGAGCAACGCCGCGUGAGUGAUGAAGGCUUUCGGGUCGUAAAACUCUGUUGUUAGGGAAGAACAAGUGCUAGUUGAAUAAGCUGGCACCUUGACGGUACCUAACCAGAAAGCCACGGCUAACUACGUGCCAGCAGCCGCCGUAA
rnacentral:rRNA from 1 species